rnacentral:rRNA from 1 species
UACGUAGGGAGCAAGCGUUGUCCGGAAUCAUUGGGCGUAAAGCGCGCGUAGGCGGCCCUGUAAGUCCGUUGUGAAAGUCAAAGGCUCAACCUUUGAAAGCCGAUGGAUACUGCAGGGCUAGAGUCCGGAAGAGGCGAGUGGAAUUCCUGGUGUAGCGGUGGAAUGCGCAGAUAUCAGGAAGAACACCAAUGGCGAAAGCAGCUUUCUGGGACGGUACUGACGCUGAGACGCGAAAGCGUGGGGAGCGAACAGG